rnacentral:tRNA from 1 species
UCCCCAGUGGCUCAGUGGUAAAGAAUCUGCCUGCAAUGCAGGAAACACCAGUUUGAUCCCUGGUUUGGGAA